rnacentral:rRNA from 1 species
AGCCCUUGACAUGGACGUCGCGACUUCAGAGAUGAAGUUUUCGGUUCGGCCGGACGUCACACAGGUGCUGCAUGGCUGUCGUCAGCUCGUGUCGUGAGAUGUUGGGUUAAGUCCCGCAACGAGCGCAACCCUCAUCCUUAGUUGCCAUCAGUUCGGCUGGGCACUCUAGGGAAACUGCCGGUGAUAAGCCGGAGGAAGGUGGGGAUGACGUCAAGUCCUCAUGGCCCUUAUGGGCUGGGCUACACACGUGCUACAAUGGCGACUACAGUGGGCAGCGACAUCGCGAGGUGAAGCUAAUCUCCAAAAGUCGUCUCAGUUCGGAUUGCACUCUGCAACUCGGGUGCAUGAAGUUGGAAUCGCUAGUAAUCGCGGAACAGCAUGCCGCGGUGAAUACGUUCCCGGGCCU